rnacentral:rRNA from 2 species
GUACCCCAAACCGACACAGGUGGUCAGGUAGAGAAUACCAAGGCGCUUGAGAGAACUCGGGUGAAGGAACUAGGCAAAAUGGUGCCGUAACUUCGGGAGAAGGCACGCUGGUGUGUAGGUGAAGCCCCUGCGGGUGGAGCUGAGACCAGUCGAAGAUACCAGCUGGCUGCAACUGUUUAUUAAAAACACAGCACUGUGCAAACACGAAAGUGGACGUAUACGGUGUGACGCCUGCCCGGUGCCGGAAGGUUAAUUGAU